UACGUAGGUGGCGAGCGUUGUCCGGAUUUACUGGGCGUAAAGAGCGCGCAGGCGGUCGUUCAAGUCGCGUGUGAAAGCCCCCGGCUCAACUGGGGAGGGUCACGCGAUACUGUUCGACUCGAAGGCAGGAGAGGGAAGCAGAAUUCCCGGUGUAGUGGUGAAAUGCGUAGAUAUCGGGAGGAAUACCAGUGGCGAAGGCGGCUUACUGGCCUGAUCUUGACGCUGAGGCGCGAAAGCUAGGGUAGCAAACGGG
rnacentral:rRNA from 1 species